rnacentral:rRNA from 1 species
AUUGAACGCUGGCGGCAGGCCUAACACAUGCAAGUCGAACGGUAACAGGAAGAAGCUUGCUUCUUUGCUGACGAGUGGCGGACGGGUGAGUAAUGUCUGGGAAACUGCCUGAUGGAGGGGGAUAACUACUGGAAACGGUAGCUAAUACCGCAUAACGUCGCAAGACCAAAGAGGGGGACCUUCGGGCCUCUUGCCUUCGGAUGUGCCCAGGUGGGAUUAGCUAGUAGGUGGGGUAACGGCUCACCUAGGCGACGAUCCCUAGCUGGUCUGAGAGGAUGACCAGCCACACUGGAACUGAGACACGGUCCAGACUCCCACGGGAGGCAGCAGUGGGGAAUAUUGCACAAUGGGCGCAAGCCUGAUGCAGCCAUGCCGCGUGUAUGAAGAAGGCCUUCGGGUUGUAAAGUACUUUCAGCGGGGAGGAAGGGAAUAAAGUUAAUACCUUUGCUCAUUGACGUUACCCGCAGAAGAAGCACCGGCUAACUCCGUG